CAAAAACUAAUUUGAAAAUUUAAAAAAUGGCACACCGAAUAAUCCAAAAUAAAAUGUUAACAAUGGUGAAUCUGAUUUUUUAUGACACUCAAGUUAACUCUAACAAAAUGUGCUGACAUUUUGAAUGACACCAUAUUGCCGUUUAUUAUUCGCAUAUGCCAAAGGGAUCUGAAUACCCAGCGGACUGCCUUUCAACGCGUGAAUCACUGGUAAGGCCCCACAGAAGGAACAAUCACCCCGGGCCCGAGGAACAUUUUAAUUAUGGUUUUUAAUUUCACGGCCCAUAUGGCCGGUUGUCAGGUGAUUUCCCCUGAAUUAUGCACAGAACAGAACAUCUAUCAAGAACGCUUGGGUUAAGGCACCGCCGAGCGAGGAAUGCGCACCGAGCGAUGAAAUAUUCCACUCUAUUUCUGUUUUCGUCUUUCGGAAGGAAAUUAAGUGUUAAUCUCAUUUGAUUUGUCAUUUUCACAUGACGUGAUUUGGCGGCCUUCGCGUUCUCUUGCAAUGGAGGCGAUCGUGUUGGCCCGUGAUGUAUGGGAAACAAAUGUUUCUCUGACACAUUUAUUUGUUUAAUGAGACGUUGAAUAAUUAGUUGGAUAUGGCACAAGCGCGCAAGAAAACACAGUCGAGUACAAAGGCGAAAACACAGCUCGAAUAUAUGUGGAUUUCCUCAUCCUCACUCCCCCGCGCACAUCAGUUGGCAAAGCAAUUUAUAAAUUAUGAUUGACGACUCUGUGUGCGGAAUUGUGUGACCCAUCGCAGUUAGCCCCAUCCCCUCCUGGAUUCCUCCUCUGGUUCCCCGCCCCCUCUGAUCUAUCAUGAGUUCUUAAAAAUAUUACACAUGUUAUUAUUUGUUGAGCUGUGUUCUAUGGAAGUUUGUGUACCUGUUAAAAGUCGGAAAUUUGUGAAAAUGGAAAUAAACCCAAUACGAUUGCUGAUCUCCUCUGUGGUUUUUGGGCCCAAAUCCUCGGGCUCCCCUGCCUCGCCUGUUGACAUGUCACUAAUUUCAGAAUCGCUAAGCUGAUUUAGCUGGAAUUUUGAUUUUCGCUGUGGGCCAGCCCUUUCGCAAACGCCGGCGAUGAUUGAUGUGUUUGGCAUAUGAAAAGCCCGACCGAAAACAAAAACCCUUUCUCGAAACAUAUUCUAUGUCAUUUGUGUGCCGCCGGCGGUGGGGAGAAAUGUAUUAAUCAUCCUCGACGAAGUCAGGCGAGUCGAGGUGAUAAAUUAAGUUUGAAGACGAUUGGGAAACGUCUGUCGAGUAAUUAGUGAACUGAGCCGGGUCUGGAUGGGGUUCCUUUCGGGUCUGCGCAGGCGAUACGACGAUGAUGAUGAUGCCUAGGAGGCAGCGGCGGCCUAAGAGAGCAAUAAUGAUGUGCCUGACAGAAGAAAUGCAAGAGACCGAAAUUAAAUAUGAUAAAAGACCCACACAGUCUGUUGCCAUAAUUAAGUAUGACAUGCAAAAGUAUGAAUUAUCACUGGGAUGUCAAAGUGUCACAGCUGCCAUCAGGCGGAGAUGGAGAAUCUGGCGGAAGGCAUAAAUAAAGCCGGCGGAGAGAGUGCAAGAAGCCGACAACGAACGCCGCGUGUGGGAUUAACUGACUUGAAAAUUUAUGAUAUGAAAAAUUACUUUAGCCCCGACGCACACAAACACACACACACACACACACACACGCUCAGAAAAACUGCAAAGAUGCAGAGUGCUGGGUGAGAUACAGAUACAAAUACUGAGAUACAAAUACACAAAUAAAUACACAAAGAGAGA